AGAGAGAGAGAGAGAGAGAAGGUUAGUUAUAACUUGGAAGAGUUAAGUAUACACUGUUCUUGUCUAGACAAACAUGCAAUUGACACUCGAAGAAGCUGCAAUUUAGAUGCCCUUUCUGAGAUUGAAUAUCUGGGGUGUGAUGCGAUUUUCCAUUAGAAGAAUUUAUUGUUAAACAAUUUCUUGGAAAUGUAAUAGGAUAAAUGGUUAUGCUUAGUAGUUUCAGCAAAUGCUAUCUCACUUGUGCAGGCUUCCAUCAGAGAAACUAUGG
rnacentral:misc_RNA from 1 species